rnacentral:rRNA from 1 species
UUAAAUUGAAGAGUUUGAUCAUGGCUCAGAUUGAACGCUGGCGGCAGGCUUAACACAUGCAAGUCGAACGGUAACAG